GAGCCCGUUUGGAUGGGCUUAUAAGUUGGUCAAACCAACUUAUAAGCCCUUUUUAGCUUAUUGUAGUGUUUGGCUACCAACUUAAAAUGCUAAAUUUAAGCCAUAAAGUGCUUAAAGUCACCCAAAAAUGAAAAGUUGGGAAUCCUAACUUUUUUUUUUUGGAGGGCUUAAAGCCAUUUUCGUUGACCAUGAAAAUUACUUUUAUAUCCUUUAUAUUUUAUUUUAAUUCCCAAAAUACCCUUUUAGCUAAAGCCCUAAAAUUCACGAUCUGUUCUCAUUUCUUACGCAGCCUCCACGAUUCUGUUCAUCAUCUUCUACAACAACGCAGCCUCCACGAUCUCUGUUCAUCAUCUUCUACAACAACAAAGCCUCCAAACACAGAACUUUCUUCACUCCCACACUCACUCUCUUUCUCUCUCUAAAAUUUCCCCAAAUCGCUGAGUUCUUAAAAAUUGUAAGGUUGUAAAUCUAAAAUCAAUGUUGAAAAUCGCUUGAGUUCUUCAAGUUUCUACUGAUCUAAGAAAUGUAGUAGAGCGCACAUUUGGCGUUUGGAAAGCAAGAUGGUCUAUUUUGAGAGACAUGCCAUACUAUCACAUUGACACACAAAGGGACAUCGUACUUGCUACUAUGGCCAUUCACAAUUAUAUUAGAAAGAAAUGCAAUGUGGAUGAUGCAUUCCAAACAGCCGAGAAUGAGAGCUAUAUUCCAUCGGUUGAUUCUAAUGAUAUUGGCACAACUUCAAGAGCUAACAAUGUAGAUGUCGAAGA